UAAUACCAGCACCUCGAGUGGUCAGGAGGUUUAUUGGGCCUAAAGCAUCCGUAGCCGGCUUUGCAAGUCUCCGGUUAAAUCCAGCUGCUCAACAGAUGGGCUGCCGGAGAUACCACAAAGCUAGGGAGCGGGAGAGGUAGACGGUAUUCGGUGGGUAGGGGUAAAAUCCACUGAUCCAUCGAGGACCACCAGUGGCGAAGGCGGUCUACCAGAACGCGUUCGACGGUGAGGGAUGAAAGCUGGGGGAGCAAACCGGAUUAGAUACCCGGGUAGUCCCAGCUGUAAACGAUGCAAACUCGGUGAUGCAUUGGCUUAUGGCCAAUGCAGUGCCGCAGGGAAGCCGUUAAGUUUGCCGCCUGGGAAGUACGGACGCAAGUCUGAAACUCAAAUGAAUUGACGGACGUCG
rnacentral:rRNA from 1 species